rnacentral:rRNA from 2 species
GCGACCCCAGGUCAGGCGGGGCUACCCGCUGAGUUUAAGCAUAU